rnacentral:rRNA from 1 species
UACGUAGGGUGCAAGCGUUGUCCGGAAUUAUUGGGCGUAAAGAGCUCGUAGGCGGUCUGUCGCGUCUGCUGUGAAAACUCAGGGCUUAACCCUGAGCUUGCAGUGGGUACGGGCAGACUAGAGUGCGGUAGGGGAGACUGGAAUUCCUGGUGUAGCGGUGAAAUGCGCAGAUAUCAGGAGGAACACCGGUGGCGAAGGCGGCAUCCUGGACCGGCAUUGACGCUGGAGGAGCGAAAGCCGUGGGGAGCGAACAGG